AGAGGAAGUAAAAGUCGUAACAAGGUUUCCGUAGGUGAACCUGCGGAAGGAUCAUUAUCGAGUUUUUGAACGGGUUGUCGCUGGCCUUUCACGAGGCAUUGUGCACGCCUGGCUCAUCCACUCUUCAACCUCUGUGCACUUACUGUAGGAAACGGUUGAUGGGCUGACUUUCAUUGGUCGGUUUUGAAGCCUUUCUUAUGUUUUACUACAAACGCUUCAGUUAUAGAAUGUUUUCAUGUGUAUAACACAAUAUAUACAACUUUCAGCAACGGAUCUCUUGGCUCUCGCAUCGAUGAAGAACGCAGCGAAAUGCGAUAAGUAAUGUGAAUUGCAGAAUUCAGUGAAUCAUCGAAUCUUUGAACGCACCUUGCGCUCCUUGGUAUUCCAUGGAGCAUGCCUGUUUGAGUGUCAUGGUAUUCUCAAUCCCUAGAUUUUGUUAUGAAGUCUAGCGGACUUGGACUUGGAGGUUGUGUCGGCGGCUCUAGUCAGUCGACUCCUCUUAAAUGUAUUAGCGUGAAUGUUACGGAUCGCCUUCAGUGUGAUAAUUAUCUGCGCUGUGGUGUUUGAAGUAUUUUGUAUUCGUGCUUACAAUCGUCUCCUAGAGACAAUUUACUUGACAAUCUGACCUCAAAUCAGGUAGGACUACCCGCUGAACUUAAGCAUAUCAAUAA
rnacentral:rRNA from 1 species